CCUCCGACAGACCUAGCUCCAGGCUGUCACUUCAGGUGAAGUCACCUGACCGUUCCAGAAUUACUCACCGUUCCCGGAGAACAACCUCCGACAGAUCUAGCUCCAGGCUGUCACCUCAGGUGAAGUCACCUGACCGUUCCAGGAUUACUCACCGUUCCCGGAGAWCAACCUCCGACAGRCCUAGCUCCAGGCUGUCACCUCAGGUGAAGUCACCUGACCGUUCCAGGAUUACUUACCGUUCUCACUCCACUACAUCUACUUCAUCCUCCUUCCAAUCAGACGACCCGGUCCGCAGUUCCAGAACUCACCUCCUUACCUUUCAAUAAAAUCAUUGUAAACCUUA